rnacentral:rRNA from 1 species
CGGUGGAGCAUGUGGUUAAUUCGAAGCAACGCGAAGAACCUUACCAGGCCUUGACAUGCAGAGAACUUUCCAGAGAUGGAUUGGUGCCUUCGGGAACGUCUGACACAGGUGCUGCAUGGCUGUCGUCAGCUCGUGUCGUGAGAUGUUGGGUUAAGUCCCGUAACGAGCGCAACCCUUGUCCUUAGUUACCAGCACGUUAUGGUGGGCACUCUAAGGAGACUGCCGGUGACAAACCGGAGGAAGGUGGGGAGUGACGUCAAGUCAUCAUGGCCCUUACGGCCUGGGCUACACACGUGCUACAAUGGUCGGUACAAAGGGUUGCCAAGCCGCGAGGUGGAGCUAAUCCCAUAAAACCGAAUCGUAGUCCGGAUCGCAGUCUGCAACUCGACUGCGUGAAGUCGGAAUCGCUAGUAAUCGUGAAUCAGAAUGUCACGGUGAAUACGUUCCCGGGCCUU